AAACCGACACAGGUAGUCAAGAUGAGAAUUCUAAGGUGAGCGAGCGAACUCUCGUUAAGGAACUCGGCAAAAUGACCCCGUAACUUCGGGAGAAGGGGUGCUCUUUAGGGUUAACGCCCAGAAGAGCCGCAGUGAAUAGGCCCAAGCGACUGUUUAUCAAAAACACAGGUCUCUGCUAAACCGUAAGGUGAUGUAUAGGGGCUGACGCCUGCCCGGUGCUGGAAGGUUAAGAGGAGUGGUUAGCUUCUGCGAAGCUACGAAUCGAAGCCCCAGUAAACGGCGGCCGUAACUAUAACGGUCCUAAGGUAGCGAAAUUCCUUGUCGGGUAAGUUCCGACCCGCACGAAAGGCGUAACGAUUUGGGCACUGUCUCAACGAGAGACUCGGUGAAAUCAUAGUACCUGUGAAGAUGCAGGUUACCCGCGACAGGACGGAAAGACCCCGUGGAGCUUUACUGUAGCCUGAUAUUGAAAUUCGGCACAGCUUGUACAGGAUAGGUAGGAGCCUUUGAAACGUGAGCGCUAGCUUACGUGGAGGCGCUGGUGGGAUACUACCCUAGCUGUGUUGGCUUUCUAACCCGCACCACUUAUCGUGGUGGGAGACAGUGUCAAGCGGGCAGUUUGACUGGGGCGGUCGCCUCCUAAAAGGUAACGGAGGCGCUCAAAGGUUCCCUCAGAAUGGUUGGAAAUCAUUCAUAGAGUGUAAAGGCAUAAGGGAGCUUGACUGCGAGACCUACAAGUCGAGCAGGGUCGAAAGACGGACUUAGUGAUCCGGUGGUUCCGCAUGGAAGGGCCAUCGCUCAACGGAUAAAAGCUACCCCGGGGAUAACAGGCUUAUCUCCCCCAAGAGUUCACAUCGACGGGGAGGUUUGGCACCUCGAUGUCGGCUCAUCGCAUCCUGGGGCUGUAGUCGGUCCCAAGGGUUGGGCUGUUCGCCCAUUAAAGCGGUACGCGAGCUGGGUUCAGAACGUCGUGAGACAGUUCGGUCCCUAUCCGUCGUGGGCGUAGGAAAUUUGAGAGGAGCUGUCCUUAGUACGAGAGGACCGGGAUGGACAUACCUCUGGUGUACCAGUUGUCGUGCCAACGGCAUAGCUGGGUAGCUAUGUGUGGACGGGAUAAGUGCUGAAAGCAUCUAAGCAUGAAGCCCCCCUCAAGAUGAGAUUUCCCAACUUCGGUUAUAAGAUCCCUCAAAGAUGAUGAGGUUAAUAGGUUCGAGGUGGAAGCAUGGUGACAUGUGGAGCUGACGAAUACUAAUCGAUCGAAGACUUAAUCAA
rnacentral:rRNA from 1 species